rnacentral:rRNA from 1 species
GACGAACGCUGGCGGCGCGCUUAACACAUGCAAGUCGAACGGACCGAAUUCUUUCGGGAAAGAGGUUAGUGGCAAACGGGUGAGUAACGCGUAGGCAACCUGCCUCCCGGAUAGGGACAACGGCUCGAAAGAGCCGCUAAUACCUCAUGGCGUGUCAGAACCGCAUGGUACUGACAUGAAAGGUGCUCAUGGCACCGCCGGGAGAGGGGCCUGCGUCUGAUUAGCUAGUUGGUGAGGUAACGGCCCACCAAGGCGACGAUCAGUAGCCGGUCUGAGAGGAUGAACGGCCACAUUGGGACUGAGAUACGGCCCAGACUCCUACGGGAGGCAGCAGUGGGGAAUAUUGCACAAUGGGGGAAACCCUGAUGCAGCAACGCCGCGUGAGUGAAGAAGUAUUUCGGUAUGUAAAGCUCUAUCAGCAGGGAAGAAAUGACGGUACCUGACUAAGAAGCCCCGGCUAACUACGUG